GGGAAAGUGAAGAAACCUGUUUGGGGCAGCAGUGGGGUGGGCGUGGGCAGGGCCCUACCCAGAACUCUGUGGCAGGACCAGUUUCCAUUGCUUCCGGACCGGAUGCAGGGCUGCGAUCCGGGCGGAGACUAGAGAAUUGCGCCCAGGGGGUGCACCUGUACGUUUUUCUGAACAAAGCUCGCCAGGGGUAGGACCAACGUCUCUGGGUCAGCAGUCACUGGGCGCUUCCGGAAAUCCGCCGAGCGGGUGGGGCCAGUCUGCCAUGGGCAUCAGUGAGCUCACACAGGGGGUGUGCCAAGUUGGCAACUGUCUUAUCUGUGUGCUGGUUAUUCUUUGAAUCAGUUCUCUUGGAGCCUGUUGCCAUCAUCACCGCUGGGAUUUAGAGAAAUGUCCCUUACUGGCUCCUAUGUGGCAGCAUUUGGGUUCCAGCUGGUGGUGCUAUUUGGAAAGGUCAUGGAGCCUUGAG
rnacentral:lncRNA from 1 species